rnacentral:rRNA from 1 species
GGAAUCUUCCACAAUGGACGCAAGUCUGAUAGAGCAACGCCGCGUGAGUGAAGAAGGGUUUCGGCUCGUAAAGCUCUGUUGUUAAAGAAGAACGUGGGUAAGAGUAACUGUUUACCCAGUGACGGUAUUUAACCAGAAAGCCACGGCUAACUACGUGCCAG